CAAAGGACCCAAUAGUAUCUGAUUCUUUAUCUGGAAAUAAAGUCCUAGCAGGAUUUGUGCUGAAUUUACAUUUGUAGACCAGCCUAUCCAAUUCUCUUAUUGGCAGGGCAGCAUCAAAUUUCUUCAUAUAAAUUAAUUAAAAUAACAUAGUCAAGUAGCAGAUCAGCAGUUUCUUAUCUGAUAUCCAGCAUAACUCUACUCCUGCCUCAUCUUUUAGUUGCAUAACAAAUAGGGUUUGCAGAAUUCUUUGCCAAAUUUUCUAUUUUUAUUCCUACUGAAAAGGAUGGAGUUAAAGAUUCCUUUGUUCAUUUUUCAUUGGUUUAGCUAGCCCUUCAAUAAUACCUGGAGUGACCAUAUGCCCUACUUUCCUGAAGACACACCUCUGCUUGAGAGUCUUUAGAGAACUGUCCUUUAUUUGACAGCAUUUUCUAUUUUGAGUCCUGUCUGAAGUCUAUUUAAAAGCAUAGGCAGCAGAUUAAGGAAGCACCAAAAUAAUCUAGUCACAGUCUUCCUCCACAAUGGCGAGAUGUAUUAUAUAUUCAGAAAGUUCCGAAGAACACAUGGGGCCCAUCACUGUGCAGGAACACUGCAAGUUUUCAACACAUGGAGAAAAGAAACAAACAUUUGGCUAAACCAGGUCCAUUCGCUCAGUUGCACAAUAGAGUCAAACAUGAGGACCACAGCAGUGAGAAGCUGAUCCAACAGUAGUCCAAAUGAAAUUUCUCAAGUGAAACAACAAUCAAGCACAUGUCAACAAGGGCACCCUACUUCAAGAUAUCUCUUCAAAAUUCUCUAGUUCCUGCUGCUAUCUACAUAAUCUGUCAGUUUCAUAUUUUUCCAUUUGUUAACCAAGUUCACUCUGUAUAACUAUUUCAGUUGAGCCAUUAAUAAAUUUAUCAGUUCUCCA